CGUAGAAAUGUACCUGGCUAAAAGAGGAGCAACUUUUUUUGGUAGCAGUUAUCCUGAGUUGAACUCAGAGUUGACCAAAGGUUACCUUCGUAACUCCUCAAACCUGAUUCGUGGAAUAGGGCUCAGUCAGUAUCUGUACAUGUCGGUUUUGAUGUGCACUCACACUGCAUGUACGGCAGGUACUCCUUAAAAUAUCAGCCGUGGAAGAAGAACUAUGCAUCCGAACUUAUUACAAAUUCAAUUUCAAGAGACAAGAAUGAGACACAGUGCUCAAGAAAGCUCUGUGUGGACAGCCGUGAUGAAGGACACUGGCUGGUUCCCCUGGAGUCUCCGUUGAAGGCCCUCGCCAUUUCAGCUCCCAGGGACCCCCCAAUGAGCUCAACUGGGGUCCCUUUCGUGUCAUUGCAAAACAGAGGUGUUUAACUUCCAGAUAUAUCAGACGAUGUUGAGUUUGCUAGCUGGGUUGCUGUUAAAAGAAUUGGAAUAAAUAGAACUGUUUAGAAGAAAGAAAGUCACUUGUUAAUCUGUGACUUUGGAGGGAUAUGUGGCCCCUUUGUUUAUUUCAAUGGAAAUUCUUAUAAAACACAGAUUAUCCUUCUUCCUCUCUGGUCUGGAUACAGUUGUGAUUGAUAGGUAUAUUUACAGAUGGUAUUUCUUCCCUCUGUCACAGGAGGCUGCUCAGGGGAGGACGGCUCCUAGUAAUGGCUGGAAUGGAGUAACUGGAAUUGUAUCAACCACAUGUAAACCAUGUGUUUGAUGUGUUCGAUACCAUUCCAUUUAUUUCGUUCCAGCCAUUACUAUGAGCCCGUCCUCCCCAAUGAAGGUGCCACCAGCCGCCUGUGCUCUCUGUAACUUCGUAAAGUCGUCCGGCUUGUGUUCCAUCCUUAAUGAGAGCCAAGUAAACUACUCCUUAUGUUUGAAAAAGCCAACAAAGCUCAGUACGUCUGUUCAUGUACAGCCUUUAUGAAGUCAAAGCAAUAUGCUCUGAGAGAAUACCUCCGACACCACAACCACGCAGCAAAUUGGUUCAGUUUAGUGAACCCUUGUUUGAGCAGGCAAUAAGCAAAAGAGGAAUAUGAAAUGAUUUCUCAGCACAUUUAUCUUGAUAAAAAUAAAAGAUGUAGAGGCGUAAUAGGAACAACAUGUUGGGUAAUGAGGGGAACAGGGGAUGAUGGAGGAGUAGGACAUGGAUUUCCAGACAUUCCUCUUGAUGGGAUUUCAUGAAGAAAAGAAUACAGCUCUCUCGUUUAUUUGAUUUUAGAGGUUGUGGUCGGGGAGAAAAAAGCAGGAUAAAUGCAUGCUUCAUCAAGGAUAAAUAUUUCCACCCCGUGAAUAAAUGCUGGGAAGUAAACACAGGCCAGAUUGUGACCAGCGGUAGGACGUUUGUGGGUAUAUCUGUUUACACGUUGCUUUGUGUGUGUGUGUGUGUGUGUGUGUGUGUGCGUGCGUGUGUAAACAAACAGAGAGCUUGACACACAGUGGACAAAACAGGUGCUUUAAAGAACAAUUGUACUGUUUACGGUAGCUGUUACUCAUCUUUAUACAGAUGUAAGAUCUUAAUCUGAGGCAGUUUGCAACAACAGAAAAGUAAUCCUGCAGCAACAGGGAAUGUGAAUUAUAAUUAUUAUAAUUAAUGAAUGUGUUUGUAGGGGUUGAUCCAUAUUUUGUUAGGGCAAAUCCAGUCUAAAAUUUCAGUGGGAUUUUUUUUCAUUCAGCAACAAAAGAUUGCCUAAAUGAAGAUCCUACAUGUGUACGUGGAUUGACUGUCAAACAGAGAGAAAGAGAGAGGAAAAGAGAAGGGGAAGAGAGAGAGAGAAGAAAAAUGGUGAAGAAGUGGGAUGAGUGGGAGCCUGUCUGAUGCAAAAAUGAACACAUUUAUAGCUGACAAGUUUGCUAAAAGGCUUCCAUCAAAGUGAGUGAUUUCCUCAUAAUCUUUCCUCUCUCUUCACAUGCCAGAAAAUCUGGAGCUCCUGCUGUUCUACUCUUCUCUUUCCAGUGACUGCUGACCCUCAAGGCUCCCCACUGAUGGCGCAAGGUACUGGAGGGGUAACCGAUGGAGCAAUGCAACAAAUUUGGCAGUUAACCCAGCACCAACCGCUGCCAUGUUUGAACGGUUGCCACAGUGACCAGGAGGCCCACACGGUGAGGUUUGGGCUUUCUGUUUUUCACACCCGUGGCACCAAGGGAGGAAAAGCAGAUUGGGAAAGGAGGUGUUGGUUACAGUGGAACCGGAGACCUAGAGAACACAACACAAUAAAACAUGAUGGGGAGAGGUGUUUCCAACUCUUAAAAGGAGGAUCCAAGAUUGGAUAGCCUGUCCAUCAUUUCAUCCAGCAUGGUACCCUAUCUCUACUCCCUGUGCUGUGAACCUUAUCCAGAGUACUGGGAUUAUUUCAACUCAUCCAAAUUGUUUAGUAUUGCCAUGAAAUACCACAUAAGGAAAGGGGUGUCUUGAAAUUGUAUGUAUGAAGCUGAAAAAGCAAAGCUUAGUUUGUGAUAUGCAGAAGACAUGGUGGAUCUAUUGGCACAGAUAAGGCAUAUAGUACAUAAACCUAUUAGUCCACACACACGCGCACGCGCACGCGCACACACACACACACACACACACACCUGCUCCCAGGCCCCUCAGCCGCUGCCAUAGUAAAAGUGCAUGAUUUCUAGCUGCAGCCCUCUUAAGGGUCCUUCAGUUUAAAAAAAUAAUAAUAAUAAAACAAGCCUAAUGCUUGUGAGUCAUUUUGAAAUCACCAUUUUAUAAUUUAUUUAUCUUUUUAUUGACAGCGGAAAAUUUGUGUCAUGUCAACUAGCCCCAGGGACCACUGUGAAAGUGCAGAGAGCAGAAAAUGUGGCUUGAGUUAGCCAGGCGGAUUAGCACUGAGUGCCUGACGAGGAAAACUACAAUGCAUCACUUGAAGGUUUACGUUUUUUCUAAAAUGUUUUCAUGUUUUUUUGCGGUUGUGCUUCAUUAGGAUGACCAACAUAACAUUCUGGGAUUUUACAUUGUGUGGCAUGACAGCUCUAAGACUCAUUCUGUGGUAAAUGUUCAGCAACAUGAUGAUUUUGACUGUGAAUUCCAGGUAAUGUGACUAAACCAUGAUGUUAAGGGCUUCUCAGUACACUUCAGCUCAGGUUGCAAAGUGCUCCCUAACCGCAGAUUUAAAAUCAGAUGUAUGCAAUGUCAUCAAAAGUCUAAAUAUUUAGUACGCAUGGAAAGGGGGAAUUUGUGCAUGUUUAGAGCACCACCAUUAGGUAAAUGAUCUGAGAAUUUGUUAUUGUUUUUGUUUUGGGAACAGUAAUUGGUGACAUGUUUUAUCUGAAGCCUUUCAAAUCUCUUAUUCCUCAACAUGGGGACAAUUGUGGGAACUCCAACCCUCCAAAUAAUUUUUUACAUUAAAAAAAUGGUACAUUU